UUUCCGUAGGUGAACCUGCGGAAGGAUCAUUAUUGUAUGGCCGAGGUGCGAGGGCUGUCGCUGACCCGAAAGGUCGUGCACGCCCGAGUGCCCUCACACACAUCCAUCUCACCCCUAUGUGCACCACCGCGUGGGUCCCCCUUUGGCUUGUUCGGAGGGGGGCUUACGUUUUCACACAAACUUUGUAUGCAGUGUAGAAUGUAUUUUCUGUUUUUGCGAUCACGCAAUCAAUACAACUUUCAACAACGGAUCUCUUGGCUCUC
rnacentral:misc_RNA from 1 species